CACUGAGACACUAAGGGACAUUGGGAGACAUUAUGGCAGACACUGAGACACUAAGGGACAUUGGGAGACAUUAUGGCAGACACUGAGACACUAAGGGACAUUGGGAGACAUUAUGGCAGACACUGAGACACUAAGGGACAUUGGGAGACAUUAUGGCAGACACUAAGACACUAAGGGACAUUGGGAGACAUUAUGGCAGACACUAAGGGUCACUGGGAGACAUUAUGGCAGACACUGAGACACUAAGGGACACUGGGAGACAUUAUGGCAGACACUGAAACACUAAGGGACAUUGGGAGACAUUAUGGCAGACACUGAGACACUAAGGGACACUGAGAGACAUUAUGGCAGACACUGAGACACUAAGGGACACUGGGAGACAUGGG